rnacentral:SRP_RNA from 1 species
GCCCCGGUCUCGCGCAAUGGAAGCCUGUGAACCAUGUCAGGCGGGGAACCGAGCAGCAUUAAGCGGGACGAAAUGUGCCGCGAGGGCUCCGGUUCGGA